GCCUAAUACAUGCAAAGUUCGGAAACGCAUUGUGGUUGAAAUGAUAUGAAGAACUUGUUCAGAUUUGAUUUUCAACAUUGCAAUGAGUGGCGAACGGGUGAGUAACACGUGGGAAACCUACUCUUAGCAGGGGAUAACAUUUGGAAACAAUGCUAAUACCGUAUAAUAUUAAAACCGCAUGGUUUUAGUUUAAAAGAUGGUCUUGCUAUCACUAAGAGAUGGUCCCGCGGUGUAUUAGUUAGUUGGUGAGGUAAUGGCUCACCAAGACAAUGAUACAUAGCCGAGUUGAGAGACUGACCGGCCACAAUGGGACUGAGACACGGCCCAUACUCCUACGGGAGGCAGCAGUAGGGAAUCUUCCACAAUGGACGAAAGUCUGAUGGAGCAACGCCGCGUGUGUGAUGAAGGGUUUCGGCUCGUAAAACACUGUUGUAAGAGAAGAAUGACAUUGAGAGUAACUGUUCAAUGUGUGACGGUAUCUUACCAGAAAGGAACGGCUAAAUACGUG
rnacentral:rRNA from 1 species